GAUGAACGCUGGCGGCGUGCCUAAUACAUGCAAGUCGAGCGAACAGACGAGGAGCUUGCUCCUCUGACGUUAGCGGCGGACGGGUGAGUAACACGUGGAUAACCUACCUAUAAGACUGGGAUAACUUCGGGAAACCGGAGCUAAUACCGGAUAAUAUAUUGAACCGCAUGGUUCAAUAGUGAAAGACGGUUUUGCUGUCACUUAUAGAUGGAUCCGCGCCGCAUUAGCUGGUUGGUAAGGUAACGGCUUACCAAGGCGACGAUGCGUAGCCGACCGGAGAGGGGGAUAGGCCACACUGGAACUGAGACACGGUCCAGACUCCUACGGGAGGCAGCAGUAGGGAAUCUUCCGCAAUGGGCGAAAGCCUGACGGAGCAACGCCGCGUGAGUGAUGAAGGUCUUCGGAUCGUAAAACUCUGUUAUUAGGGAAGAACAAAUGUGUAAGUAACUAUGCACGUCUUGACGGUACCUAAUCAGAAAGCCACGGCUAACUACGUG
rnacentral:rRNA from 1 species